UCCAUGACGGCGACGACGUCCAGCGGUUCCCGCCGGCCCAAGCAGGUCCAUCUUCUCCUCCAACCCCUCUCAUGGGCUCCUCGCUGUCGCCUCGAUGGCUGGGACCCCUCCGCAACCGCCGGCCACCGGCAGCAGCCCCAGGGCCGAUGGUGACUCCCAGGCUGCGGCAUUGCUCAACACCGGCGACCUCGACGCCUAGCCCCAGCAAGCAUCUCUCUCUCUCUCUCCCCCCGUUCUUCUUUUAUGCUGUGCCAGUACGUACCACGGUGGCCAUCCAUUGUCCAGGCCCGUCCAUGCAUUGCAGAUUUUUGUGUAUGUGACUAUAAGGUGUUUGAUGAAAAAACAAGCAGGGUAGCAAAAGAUUUAUUUCUGCUAAUGCUCUUUUGUGUAAUCAAUAUUUCUUUUUCUUCUGAUGGGUGGUUAGGGGUUUGUUUUGGGAUGUUUCAUUGAAUUUGAAAAGACUUUUCAUGCUUACUUGGAGGCACCAAGGUCAACUAAUUCUGAUCCUAGCAUAAGUAUACUCAAAGGGAGUAUUAAUUAGGCACAGUCUGUUUAGAGCAUUGCACUGUGUUUUUGCUUUGCUAAUACUGAUGUGUAAGUCAAGAAUGUGCGAGUAUAUGGACCUUUCUCUUUUGAAUAAAGAGAUGUGUAAACAACAAACUGAUGCAUAAACGUACAAAUUUUGUUCACUAGAUACACUGCAUGUUCAACACAGAUGAUCAUCCUUGAUAUGACAAGGUCAACUAUUUUCCUAAUAAUUAGUGGUUAUUUCCUAUGAGGGAGCCUUUCUACAUCUCACAUAGCAGAUCUUCUUUGCAACUCUCUUGCUCUCUCAUAAGAAGCUAUACUUUGCAAGGGCCUCAAAGAAAAAAGUCUGUAUUCAACAGACAGUAUUGAAGCAUCAUUUUCGAAUAUAAAUUGGUUUUGUUUAUACUCUGGAGAUAUUAUCUCUCUCAACUCUUAUCAUAUGGCAGAGACUGAAUGAUCCUAACGGCAAGAUGUCGACAUAGUAUCCAGGUCCCAGUAUACACACUAAAAAAGAGCAGUUGUUUCCCGCUCAUCUUUUCAACAACCGUAACUAUUUUCCAACUUUUUGAGUGACAUAGAAUUCUAUGUUCUGUUUGAUUCCUUGCAACCAACAAAAAGGAGUGGCUAACACUCUAUUGUUUGUUCUAUAUUUUCAUACUUGUUUUUCCUUCGGCUACCUCACAGUAGAAAUUGGGGAGAAGUGGGUAGCUAGCUUUUUUCAUACUUGCUUUUCCUUCGGCUACCUCACACUAGAAAGGGGGAGAAGUGGGUAGCUAGCUUUUUUCAACUCCAGCAGAAUUUAUCAUUGAUCUAUGCAUGAUUAAACACCAAUUGCGGCAUUCAUUGUGUACUACUACAGUCUUAUUGUUGAGAUGGUUCUCUUACAUUGGUUGAACAAGUUGUGUAUUAUUGAGUAAUGCUGAAUGGAACUAUCUAUUUCUUUUGCCGGUGGUGGAGGAAUUACUGAUCUCAAGUUGCCUGCAAGCUUCAUGGACUGCUCUGAGUUGAGUGCCAACUGCUAAGGUACUAUCCUAAUAUAUAUAAGAUUUCCCAUCGGAAACUUGAAAUCGUAGGGUAUACCAAACUGUUGCAUUAUGGCCAUUCGGUUCAUUUUGUUUGCAUUAAUGUAUGAAGUCUUUUCUCUCGGUGUUGGAAGACAAACUGAAAAAUGUUCCCUCUAUUUAUAGUUAUGUUCACUUUAGAUAUAUGAAAUCUUUGAUUUAUUUUGUCAAUUGUGUUCUUCAUCAGAUGUUGUUCUUAAAAGGUUGCUGAUUACACCUAGAAAGAUCCUCCUAUAAAAGUAGAGUUGCACUCUUUCACGCACAUCACCCAUGGAUCUCAGUGGAUCUAGAUAGGCAACAUUCAGAUUGCGAAAAACAUAAUUUACCUGCUAUUCUUUCUGGCCGACAAUAAUCUUCCCGACGACUAAUAUAUAUAUGAUUCUUGGGCUCAUCACAAGAUUAUAGUGGGCAUGUGCAUUUUCUGCAAGGGAAGAUCAUAGAACACAUGUAACUUGGUUCUAUCUGAAACAAAGAAACUAUACACUAGAUAAAAUGAUUAGUCUCGGAAGGGUUAAGCUUAUUUUUGGUUAAUCUACUGCUUCAAGUUUGCUUCAUCAAAUGAUGCCUUUUUUAGCCAUUUUAAUAUUUUACGUUAUGGCAUUCCAUGAUAGUGUGCCCACUUAUUCUAUAGCCACCCUUUCUGAUGACCAAAUCAAGAUAUUACUUUGUUUUUCUUUUUGAUACGUGUGUGAAUUUUCCCAGCACUAAACAACAAUGCCAUGAAUACAACAUAAGAUAUGACAGUAAGGUUUGCUUACCCUUGGUGAUCAUCCAAGAGUUGAUGUUUUAUCUCUGAAUUGGGAACAAUAGUCCAACUAAAUGAAUAAGGACACUUAUGCAUAGGCGGUUCUUAUAAACAAACAUUAUAGUAUGAUUAUUUAUUUUGUGCACCUGCAAGAUUCUAUUACUUGUCCUAUAGGAUUGAUAGGGAUAAUAAUCUUACUCGGAUCUGGACUAUAACAUUUUUGGUUUCAGGUAUGUAGAAUUAUGGCUUUAGGUUGUAACCUGGGUGGUCAGUAGAUUAGAUUUCGCGGGGCUUUUCAAAUCUGUUCAAACAUCUCAGUGGAUCAGAUUUAUGUAUUUAUUGUAUCAUUGUCCUUUUAAAAGGAAAUGUACCAUUUUUCGUUUAAGUUUGUUGACCAAGGUUGUCAAAGUAGUAAACUCAGCCACUGUGGCAUGAUCAACUUUUAUGAGCAACUUCUUUAUACUGGGAAAAUCAAAUGUAGGUCCAAGUGGCUUCGCGACAGGGUUUGGAAACACUGCUUGUGGGUGACCAUGGGCUGCCCGUAGGAGAGACAAAUAAACAUAGCAUACAGAGAAAUAAUUGAUUCAUCACAAGUACAUGCGGUCUUUCUUUGGUCAUACAUGCAGUUUAAGUUUGGUUGGCAGACCAUUUUACUCAAUUUAAUUAUCUUAUUUUCA